rnacentral:rRNA from 1 species
UACGGGGGGAGCAAGCGUUGUUCGGAUUUACUGGGCGUAAAGGGCGCGUAGGCGGUCGUGACAAGUCACUUGUGAAAUCUCCGGGCUUAACUCGGAACGGUCAAGUGAUACUGUCGGACUAGAGUACAGAAGGGGCAACUGGAAUUCUCGGUGUAGCGGUGAAAUGCGUAGAUAUCAGGAGGAACACCGGUGGCGAAGGCGGAUCUCUGGGCCGUAACUGACGCUGAGGAACGAAAGCAUGGGGAGCGAACAGG